UAGGGAAUCUUCCACAAUGGGCGCAAGCCUGAUGGAGCAACACCGCGUGAGUGAAGAAGGGUUUCGGCUCGUAAAGCUCUGUUGUUAAAGAAGAACACGUAUGAGAGUAACUGUUCAUACGUUGACGGUAUCUAACCAGAAAGUCACGGCUAACUACGUACCAG
rnacentral:rRNA from 1 species